rnacentral:rRNA from 1 species
AGCGAACGCUGGCGGCAGGCCUAACACCUGCAAGUCGAGCGCCCCGCAAGGGGAGCGGCAGACGGGAGAGUAACACGUGGGAACGUGCCCUUCAGUUCGGAACAACCCAGGGAAACUUGGGCUAAUACCGGAUACGUCCGUAAGGAGAAAGAUUUAUCGCUGAAGGAUCGGCCCGCGUCUGAUUAGCUAGUUGGUGGGGUAACGGCUCACCAAGGCGACGAUCAGUAGCUGGUCUGAGAGGAUGAUCAGCCUCACUGGGACUGAGACACGGCCCAGACUCCGACGGGAGGCAGCGAUGGGGAAUAUUGGACAAUGGGCGCAAGCCUGCUCCAGCCAUGCCGCGUGGGUGAUGAAGGCCCUAGGGUUGUAAAGCCCUUUCGGCGGGGAAGAUAAUGACGGUACCCGCAGAAGAAGCCCCGGCUAACUUCGUGCCAGCCGCCGCCGUAAAAC